AAGUUCCGACCUGCACGAAUGGCGUAACGACUUGGGUACUGUCUCAACCAGAGACUCGGCGAAAUUGCAGUGUGAGUAAAGAUGCUCACUACCUGCGGCAGGACGGAAAGACCCCGGAACCUUUACUGUAGCUUGACAUUGGUGUCUGGCAUGUGAUGUGCAGGAUAGGUGGGAGGCUGAGAAGCGGAGGCGCAAGCUUUCGUGGAGCCAACCUUGAAAUACCACCCUUCUCAUGACGGCCAUCUAACUUCGGUCCGUAAUCCGGAUCAGGGACAGUGUCUGGUGGGCAGUUUCACUGGGGCGGUGGCCUCCUAAAGAGUAACGGAGGCGCCCAAAGGUCCCCUCAGUCUGGUCGGCAAUCAGACGGCGAGUGUAAAUGCACAAGGGGGCUUGACUGCGAGACCUACAGGUCGAGCAGGGACGAAAGUCGGGAUUAGUGAUCCCAUGGUGGCACGUGGGUGCGCCAUGGCUCAACGGCUAAAAGGUACUCCGGGGAUAACAGGCUUAUACCCCCCAAGAGUCCAUAUCGACGGGGGUGUUUGGCACCUCGAUGUCGGCUCGUCGCAUCCUGGGGCUGGAGCAGGUCCCAAGGGUCGGGCUGUUCGCCCGUUAAAGCGGCACGCGAGCUGGGUUCAGAACGUCGUGAGACAGUAAGACCAUUGCUGUCUAUAAAUUCGGCUAUAUGCUGGAAAUCCCGUGUAUCCGACGGUACUCGUUCAUGUCACACCCGACACAUGGGGUGGAGAUAUGGACAGUGAAAAUCCGAUCGGUGCGGACAAUCAGCAGGGAAGGCUGGAGUCCUAGAGUAAGCGGAUUCGUGGAAGAGAAACGCCAAAGAGCGAGAGGGGUAAUACGACGCCUCAUUCGCGGGCGAGUCACCAUGAGUUCGUCAGGAACCCAGAACCCUCAGAGACUAUACGCCGAACACCUAUCCUCGGAUGGGUGAAGAUAUAGUCCGAGCUGUAUGGCGACAUACAGAGUCAGGCAGAAAUGACCUGGCCUCCGCUCACCCGAAGUGAGCGGUAGUAACAAUACUGUCGGUCCCUAUCCGCCGCAGGCGCAGGAGAUUUGAAGGGAGCUGACCCCAGUACGAGAGGACCGGGUUGGACGUACCUCUGGUGUGCGAGUUGUACUGCCAAGUGCACGGCUCGUUGGCUAUGUACGGACGGGAUAAGCGCUGAAAGCAUCUAAGUGCGAAGCCCACCCUAAGAUGAGAUCUCCCACCCGUAAGGGUUAAGGCCCCUGGUAGAUGACCAGGUUGAUAGGCCGGACGUGUAAGCACAGCAAUGUGUUCAGCGGACCGGUACUAAUAGGCCGAGGGCUUGGAUAG
rnacentral:rRNA from 1 species